GAUGAACGCUGGCGGCGUGCCUAAUACAUGCAAGUCGAGCGAACGGACGAGAAGCUUGCUUUUCUGAUGUUAGCGGCGGACGGGUGAGUAACACGUGGAUAACCUACCUAUAAGACUGGGGUAACUUCGGGAAACCGGAGCUAAUACCGGAUAAUAUUUUGAACCGCAUGGUUCAAAAGUGAAAGACGGUCUUGCUGUCACUUAUAGAUGGAUCCGCGCUGCAUUAGCUAGUUGGUAAGGUAACGGCUUACCAAGGCAACGAUGCAUAGCCGACCUGAGAGGGUGAUCGGCCACACUGGAACUGAGACACGGUCCAGACUCCUACGGGAGGCAGCAGUAGGGAAUCUUCCGCAAUGGGCGAAAGCCUGACGGAGCAACGCCGCGUGAGUGAUGAAGGUCUUCGGAUCGUAAAACUCUGUUAUUAGGGAAGAACAUAUGUGUAAGUAACUGUGCACAUCUUGACGGUACCUAAUCAGAAAGCCACGGCUAACUACGUG
rnacentral:rRNA from 1 species